rnacentral:rRNA from 1 species
CCCUUAGAUGUUCUGGGCCGCACGCGCGCUACACUGAUGCAUUCAACGAGCCUAGCCUUGACCGAGAGGUCCGGGUAAUCUUUGAAACUGCAUCGUGAUGGGGCUAGAUUAUUGCAAUUAUUAAUCUUCAACGAGGAAUGCCUAGUAAGCGUGAUUCAUCAAAUCGCGUUGAUUACGUCCCUGCCCUUUGUACACACCGCCCGUCGCUCCUACCGAUUGAGUGUGUUGGUGGGGAGUUUGGAUUGGCCUCGGAAGGUGGUUCGCCACCGUCCGUAGCUGAGAAGUUCUCCAAACCGCCCCACUUAGAGGAAGGAGAAGUCGUAACA